UUAAACUGCCUUGCUGCCGUCUAAAUAUUGAAAUACAUCAAAUUAUCGUCGUUAUUUAAGUGAUAUUUCGAUAUCAUAAAAAGUGUUGUAUUUAUGAUUGCACUGAAAAUUUUUAAUAAAAAAAAAGUAUUUUAAAAAGCUUUUUCUAUUUCGAGUGAAGAAUAACGGAAAGUAAAGUGUUGUAACAUUAAAUGAAUUCUGGGACAUGGUUGAAAACAUUAUGAGUCACGGUGACUGUCACUCAUACAUCAGUUUGCACUAACGUGUACACAUGGAAGUAUAAAACAGAUGGAAGUUCAUCAAGCCGCAAACAUCAAAGCAAUUUUAAGUCGUCUUGGAAGUAAGGUUGUAACCGACAACAAAAAAAUAACAAGUUUUACUGGACAAAAAACAAAAAAAAAACAGGCCCGGCCUGGCCCAAAAGACUAAAACCCGGCAACCCAAUCUUAAAGCCAAUUUUUCUUUGUUUUUGCAAAAGACAUACAUUUGUUUUUGUUUUUAUUAGUUAAAAAUUAUAUAUAUAUUAAAAAAAAAAGAUAAUAAAGUAAUAUUUAAAAAAUAUAAUUUUUGGUUUUUACAAAAAAAAAUAAAGUUAUACGGUUUUUAUCGAAAACGAUGAGAUAAUUACUAAAACCAAUAAGUAGAUAUGACCUGUGAUGACCAUAUGAAAUGUGGAUUUUAUACAAAACUUAAAAAAUCAUUUUAAUUGUAUCAUUCAGAAAGUACUGAAACUAAUGAAGGAAGGAAAUUUGCUUUAAGUACGACAAAGACCAAAUGGAACCUACCGUUCGCGCUAAGCCAUAUUUCAUAAUUGGAGAUUGAGAUGUCAAUGCGGCUCCUGAUGCCGUGAUUGAAAACAAUGCAAAAAAAGUGGUUGUCUCAAUGAACCAUGAAGAAUUUAACGCAAUUCCUUCAAUAACUCUUUUCGCAGUUCCUCGCAAUAACCCUUAACCCUAACGCAAUUCCUCACAAUAACCAUUCAUGUUAAAAACAACCACUGGAUACUCUUAAUUGCUAACACUCUUAAUAAAAUAGUUGGGUUUUUGGAUUCUCUUAAUUAGGGGUAAUAAUUUGAAACAUGAUAUGUUUUUGAAAUAUAUGAUAUUACGGUCAUCUGUUACUAAUAUACUUGGAGUUAGGAGCAAAGUUGCAUUUAAUGCACCUCAACAACUCAAUGGAAACAGUUGUGGAGUUUUUAAACUAAUAUUUACAGGAGCUUUUACUAACAAUGUGAACAUAUUGUAUACCCGAAAGUUGUGGCAUUAUACCGUCUAUACAUUCGUGGUAGACUUGUACAACGAAUGUGCGCUAACGUUGAUAACGAAAAUAAAUGGUCACAAUGCAAUCAGUGAAAUCGUUGGUGCCAUAAUGCCUGUGCGCCGUGUCAAUCUUCUCAUACGACAUCUUCAUGAAGCCAAUGCAUUUGAACAAGUAAAUGAUAUGUUUCCGGUUUAUAUUGUUUAAAACUUUGUUUAUUUUUGUAAAAAAAAAAAAAAUUCAAACAAUAAAUACUUUUAUCACUUAUGAAUUUGAUAUAACAAUAAUAUAAGUUUGUUUAUUUACAUGUAAAAAAAUUUUUUUUAUCCUGGCCGGGUUUUAGAUUUUUGAGCCGGGCCGGCUUUUAGGUACAACCCAAAAAUUCACUGAAAUGGUUUCUAUUACAACAUAAUAGAAAUCAUAUAAUAAUAAUUAUUCUAAGGCUAUGCUUCGUAGUUUUAACCUUUAGUAACUGUAAUUAUUCAACAAAAUGUUUACUAAAACUCGGAAAUUAAAUAGUAUCACUCUACUUUAAAAACAUAUGUUAGUUAAAGUUUCUUUACCCGCUUCGAAUUAUAACAGGACAUUCGACUAAAAUAAUAAUAAUUAAAAAAAAAAAAAAUUGUUUUCUAAAUUACUAAAGUUUAAAGUUUGAUUAGUUGUAUAUCAUAAUUCCAUUCAUGCUUGUAUUGCUCCAUAAUUUAAUAUGAAGUUUAAGAAAAUAUUGUUAUUUGCAAUUUUGUUGUCGCCAUUUUUAAUGCUUAUACUUAAAUAUUAUUGGCGAACCCUCAAAAACUAUAUCUUUUAAUUAAUAUAAACGUAUUUGCGUAAUUAUUAUAAACCUAUUUGCGUAAACGUAUAAAGAUUAAAUCUUUAAAUACAGUCUUGAUGUCGUUUACUUUUUGUUUACGAAACAAAAUUUUACAAGUAUAGUCCCAAAGCAUUUCAAUGCGGUUGAACUUCCAUCUGACGGAUCCAGGAGGAGGGUGAUAGCAGUGGCGGAUUAAGACUUCCUGGGGCCCGAGGCUAUUUUUAUUUUUGGAGGCCUUUUUAUAGGCUAGAGCCUAAAAAUGACUGAAAAAAAAAAAAAAGGUCCUCUAAAAUUUUUGGGGGCUCCUAAAUUUGCGGGGCCCGGGCUAUAGUCCCCGUAGCCCCCCCCCCUUGAUCCGGCACUGGGUGAUAGUGGAAUGCAUCCCCUCCCACCUCCCAACCAAAACCUGAAAGUCCUAAAAAUUUUCAAAAAUAUUCCAAGUUUUUUAACGAAUCUAAUCAAAUUAGCUUAAAAAAUAUAGGUAAAACUGAAAUCUUUAAAAAUUUGAGGUUAUACGAGAUGUUGUUAAAAACAUUUGUUGACGUCGUUUCACUCGACGAGGAAAAAUUUUUGAAUUGCCAUACUUUCCAAAGUUUGUGUAAAUUAUAUUAAACAUUAGAAAAGAGGUACAUGUCAAAAAGUUGUUUAUUAUGAAAUUAUCUUGAUUUUUGUAACUUUCUUUCUACUAUUUUAUGUGAAUAAUUUGAUUAUGAAACAUUUCUUAUUAAAAAUUGAGGUAGCGAAAAGAAAUUUAAAUAUUGAAUUUUUUAUAAAAAUGUUAUGAAAAGUUUAUAUAAAAAAAGUUUAUAAAAAACUUUAUCCGGUUGUCAUUUUUAAUGUUUCUUCGUACGUCACCAUUUUUUAUUUAAUAAAUUUUAUAAAAAUAAACGAUUUUGUAGAAAUUUAAAAAUUAAACCUUUUUUGUACAAAAUUUGUAAAAAACCAUUAAAAGGAAUAUGCAGAUUUGCAUCUAAACCAGUUCUUGUGUUAUCCUUUAUAACUUAAAAAGCUCUAAUUAAGAAAUUAAAUAUUGAAACCUUGAUUUGUUUAUAUCGCGUUACGCAUUUGAUUUUAUUGUAUCAUAUUACAUCAUUUGUUCAUUGUAUCCGGUUACAUGUUACGCGUAUUACAUAUAUUUUAUCAAAUUUUUUUAAUUUGUGUGUAACGUAAACUCAAGUAAAAAAAUUAAUUUUAUUUUUAAAAUGUUUUCCAUUUCAGUUUAUGUGUUUUACGUUUUUUUAUUGGUCUUUAUUCUUCUUGUUUUAAUUCAAAUAUUUAAAAUUAUGAAAUUUACCCCGAUUGAUUUGUGUGGAUGCUGCCGAGUAGAAUCUCAAUCUGAAAACAUUGGUUGUUGCAUACAGCGCAAUCGAAACCCUCCGUGUUCUAACUGUCAGUAUUUAGGGUUUAAUCCACAUUUAGAAGUGCGCAGUCGAUGGUUUGUUUUUCAAAAAAGAUUACGUUUUCGGAAUUCUGAAUGUACGAUUUGUUUAGAGGAUUUUUAUCUUAAUGAAAACGUUGUUUUACUCUCGUGUGGACACAGUUAUCAUAAGGGAUGUAUAGAGAACUGGUUACUAGUGAAAAACAAUUGUCCUCUAUGUAAAUUUAUUGUUGGAAAAGUUUCAAACGCCAAUGAAAGAACAAGUUUACUUCAUAAUGUCUGAUUA